rnacentral:rRNA from 1 species
GACGAACGCUGGCAGCGUGCCUAAUACAUGCAAGUCGUGCGGACUUUGCGGGAGCUUGCUCCCAAGAAGUAGCGGCCGACGGGUGAGUAACACGUGGGCAAACUGCCUGAACGACUGGGAUAACAUUUGGAAACGAAUGCUAAUACCGGAUAGGCAGCGAAGAGGCAUCUCUUUGCUGGGAAAGGCGGCAACGCGUCACUGUCAGAUGGGCCCGCGGCGCCUUGGCCAGGUGGUGAGGUAACGGCGCACCAAGGCGACGAUGCGUAGCCGACCUGAGGGGGUGACCGGCCACACUGGGACUGAGACACGGCCCAGACCCCUACGGGAGGCAGCAGUAGGGAAUCUUCCACAAUGGGCGAAAGCCUGAUGGAGCAACGCCGCGUGAGUGAUGAAGGCCUUCGGGUUGUAAAACUCUGUCUUCUGGGACGAACGGCCAAGAGAGGGAAUGCUCUUGGAUUGACGGUACCAGAGGAGGAAGCCACGGCUAACUACGUGCCAGCCGCCGCGGUAA